rnacentral:lncRNA from 1 species
GAAUUGAAAUCUGCAAUAGACGGACACCACGAAUAUGAAAUGACGUUUGCAGAAAAACAGGUUGCAUCCGUGACUUGGUACUGAUUGUUGAUGAGUCGACAAGGGUCAAAAGGUACCAGAGCGACAUAAACAAAUUUCUUCACGACGUUGUUGCCCCUUUGCCUGUUAACGAUGCAGAAGUACAUGUGUCUCUCGUAUUUUUUGCAACGACUUCUAGAACGAUAUUUGAUCUUGAUGACCUCCAUUCCAAGUCUGCGGUACUGCACGCAUUAGGUAGUCAGACACUACAUGGAGGCACUGGAGACGUCGACGAAGGUUUAAAGUAUGCAGUAAACCACGCCUUGACACCCGCCGCCGGCGAGCGCCCAUCGGCAAAAAAUGUGAUUAUAAUCACUGAUGAUGGAACACAAAACAGACAUCUUCUGACGUCUUUAGAGCAUAAGGUACAUUCGAAGGCUGACGUCAUUUCCGUUGAAAUUGGACACGUGCAUUUCGCUCAUCUAGCAUCGGACACACAAAAUGCAUUCCAUCUUUUAUUACCGACUAGCCUUUCGCAGAUUUGCAAAGAAAGUCUCUGAUUUGAUUUGUAGUUAAGGAAAAUAAACGACGACAAACAUG